UGCAAGGCCUGCGGUUAACUCCUCCUGCAGAUAGUCGAUAGAUUAGGGAUUCACCCUUCUCCACGCCGCCCGCCCCUCGCUUCCUAUCUGCGACACCAUCUUCCUCCCGUAGGCGCCGCGCUACCCCACAGCCAGGUCCUUCAGAUCUAGCGGCGUUGAGCACAGGGCAAGCGGCGGCAGGAUCUGAUGGACGUUGCCGUCGUUUCCCUCGUAGCAACCCUUCUCCAAUCAACGCCCCCCUGCGAUUCCCUCCACCCUGCCAGACGCAUGCACCUCGCCUUUGAACACGACCAUGCCUGAGGUAUUACCCCUCCCCUCCUCUACAUGUGCAUAUGGAUUGGUGAAUGAAUUUCGGAAAUCACAUUUGUUGCCACAAUUUCUGCCUUCUACGCGGUGGCCUGCAGAGACCCAAUCUAGCAUGACGACAGCCAUCCGUGAUGGCCUCCACGUCUGCUAUGUCGCACUCUGAUAGCAACAUGACGUUGUUCCCAUGCUCUUCAAGGUUACAUCCUUCCUCCCCUCCUCUGCUUGAUUUGUUUGAUUAGUACAAUAAUCUGCCUACCACCAACCUGUUCGUGAAAAUACUCAGCACAAAUGGACGAGAUUUAAGACCUGCCCACCACAUGUUCGAUAGAAUGCUUCUCUGAGUUAAAGUACGAGAACAUUGGACCGGAGACAUUCAGACAUUGUGUUGUUCUCCUUUCCAUACUACCAUUGUUAGUGAAGUAUAAGGAACCACUGUAAUUUUGGUGGAUCUUCAGUUUCAGAUGGGUCUGCAUGAAAAAAUGCCGAUGCUUAACAGAUCAAAGCUAUGGCUUGUAACAUUCUGCUUUGGGAAGAUGCCUUAUGUAAUGUAAAAUACAGGGAAAUGAUCAGAUGAUUGAUCAACACUUUAUGCACGGUUCAAAAGAUAGAGAUGCAGAUGGGUACCCGAAGAAGUCAGAUCUUGUUAAAUUAAAUAUGCUGUAUGGCUGAUGACAGCCGAAGAUCGACCAUGUUUUUUUUAUUGUUUUGGGGAAAAAGUAUGCAUUGUUUAGUGGAUGGUUUCAGCUCAGUCGGCUGAGCUAUGAUAACAAGUGUAUCAAUAUAUGUACAAUGUAUGAUACUAAAUUGUUAAUAAAAAUUCUUUUGAGAGCUCU